UGGGGGAUAUUGCACAAUGGGCGAAAGCCUGAUGCAGCGACGCCGCGUGGGGGAUGAAGGCCUUCGGGUUGUAAACUUCUUUUGCUCUGAACAAGGCGCACCAUGGGGUGUGUUGAGUGUAGGGGUUGAUUAGCGCCGGCUAACUACGUGCCAGCAGCCGCGGUAAUACGUAGGGCGCGAGCGUUGUCCGGAAUUAUUGGGCGUAAAGGGCUUGUAGGUGGCUGGUCGCGUCUGUCGUGAAAGCCCAUGGCUUAACUGUGGGUUUGCGGUGGGUACGGGCUGGCUUGAGUGCGGUAGGAGAGGCUGGAAUUCCUGGUGUAGCGGUGGAAUGCGCAGAUAUCAGGAGGAAUACCGGUGGCGGAGGCGGGUCUCUGGGCUGUUACUGACACUGAGGAGCGAAAGCAUGGGGAGCGAACAGG
rnacentral:rRNA from 1 species